rnacentral:rRNA from 1 species
UACGUAGGGUGCAAGCGUUAAUCGGAAUUACUGGGCGUAAAGCGUGCGCAGGCGGUUUUGUAAGUCUGUCGUGAAAUCCCCGGGCUCAACCUGGGAAUGGCGAUGGAGACUGCAAGGCUAGAGUUUGGCAGAGGGGGGUAGAAUUCCACGUGUAGCAGUGAAAUGCGUAGAUAUGUGGAGGAACACCGAUGGCGAAGGCAGCCCCCCUGGGUCAAAACUGACGCUCAUGCACGAAAGCGUGGGGAGCAAACAGG